UGGUGGUGUCUUUAGUCCAUUG
rnacentral:siRNA from 1 species